rnacentral:rRNA from 1 species
UACAGAGGUCCCAAGCGUUGUUCGGAUUCACUGGGCGUAAAGGGUGCGUAGGUGGCAGGGUAAGUUUGAUGUGAAAAUCUCCGAGCUUAACUCGGAAACUGCAUUGAAUACUAUCCUGCUUGAGGGUUGGAGGGGAGACUGGAAUUCUCGGUGUAGCAGUGAAAUUCGUAGAUAUCAGGAGGAACACCAGUGGCGAAGGGCGGACUUU